UGCAUCGGCCGGGAAUCGAACCCGGGCUGCCCGCCGCGUGGCAGGCGAGCAUUCUACCACUGAACCACCAAUGC
rnacentral:tRNA from 1 species